UAUUACAAUGAAGAGUUUGAUCCUGGCUCAGGAUGAACGCUAGCUACAGGCUUAACACAUGCAAGUCGAGGGGCAGCAUGGUCUUAGCUUGCUAAGGCCGAUGGCGACCGGCGCACGGGUGAGUAACACGUAUCCAACCUGCCGUCUACUCUUGGACAGCCUUCUGAAAGGAAGAUUAAUACAAGAUGGCAUCAUGAGUCCGCAUGUUCACAUGAUUAAAGGUAUUCCGGUAGACGAUGGGGAUGCGUUCCAUUAGAUAGUAGGCGGGGUAACGGCCCACCUAGUCUUCGAUGGAUAGGGGUUCUGAGAGGAAGGUCCCCCACAUUGGAACUGAGACACGGUCCAAACUCCUACGGGAGGCAGCAGUGAGGAAUAUUGGUCAAUGGGCGCAGGCCUGAACCAGCCAAGUAGCGUGAAGGAUGACUGCCCUAUGGGUUGUAAACUUCUUUUAUAAAGGAAUAAAGUCGGGUAUGUAUACCCGUUUGCAUGUACUUUAUGAAUAAGGAUCGGCUAACUCCGUGCCAGCAGCCGCGGUAAUACGGAGGAUCCGAGCGUUAUCCGGAUUUAUUGGGUUUAAAGGGAGCGUAGAUGGAUGUUUAAGUCAGUUGUGAAAGUUUGCGGCUCAACCGUAAAAUUGCAGUUGAUACUGGAUAUCUUGAGUGCAGUUGAGGCAGGCGGAAUUCGUGGUGUAGCGGUGAAAUGCU
rnacentral:rRNA from 1 species